GGAAAAAAAACAGUCAACUGCUUUUCUAGCUUCUUCUUCUUUGUUAAACCCCCUCCCUCCCUCUCGGCUUCAAAGAUUUUUCCCGCUCAGUGAAGUAAUAAUUUUCUACCAAAGAAGAGAAACAUAAUGAAUAGUACAUCAUCAGCAAAUUCAUCAGUAUCAACAGCAGCAAUUAUUGGAGGUGGAGGAGGAAGUGUUAACAAUGUUGUUUUGGAUGAUUUUCAUUUCCCUUCUGAUUUAAUCUCCAUUCAAGACCGCAAAGAUGAGGCCAUGCAUGCUUCAAGCAUUCAAUGAAUUAUGUCAGUGGAAGGUUGGCAGGAGCAUAGGGCUAGGACCUCGAUCUCAUAUCAACCUCAUAUCAAGGCCAGGUGAAAAAAUAAGCAAGAAGUUGGAAAUAGAAACGCAUAAAAACCUGGCCUUGCCGAAAUGACAUGGAAUUCUGCGGGCAGGCUGCAUCUUGCAUUGAUUGACUUUUGGUACAUAUCUUUUACUUUGAUGAUAAAUAUUUCUUGUUUUAUUCUGGAGCUGGCGAUUUUAUGUGUUGUUUGCCCCGUGUUCUGAAAUGCUUCCAAGUAACUCUGUUGUCCAUGUUACAAAUAAAUGGAAGAUAACUUGCAUUUCUUUCUUUUA